AGAGUUUGAUCAUGGCUCAGAUUGAACGCUGGCGGCAGGCCUAACACAUGCAAGUCGAGCGGUAGCACAGAGAGCUUGCUCUCGGGUGACGAGCGGCGGACGGGUGAGUAAUGUCUGGGAAACUGCCUGAUGGAGGGGGAUAACUACUGGAAACGGUAGCUAAUACCGCAUAAUGUCGCAAGACCAAAGUGGGGGACCUUCGGGCCUCAUGCCAUCAGAUGUGCCCAGAUGGGAUUAGCUAGUAGGUGGGGUAACGGCUCACCUAGGCGACGAUCCCUAGCUGGUCUGAGAGGAUGACCAGCCACACUGGAACUGAGACACGGUCCAGACUCCUACGGGAGGCAGCAGUGGGGAAUAUUGCACAAUGGGCGCAAGCCUGAUGCAGCCAUGCCGCGUGUGUGAAGAAGGCCUUCGGGUUGUAAAGCACUUUCAGCGGGGAGGAAGGCGAUAAGGUUAAUAACCUUGUCGAUUGACGUUACCCGCAGAAGAAGCACCGGCUAACUCCGUGCCAGCAGCCGCGGUAAUACGGAGGGUGCAAGCGUUAAUCGGAAUUACUGGGCGUAAAGCGCACGCAGGCGGUCUGUCAAGUCGGAUGUGAAAUCCCCGGGCUCAACCUGGGAACUGCAUUCGAAACUGGCAGGCUAGAGUCUUGUAGAGGGGGGUAGAAUUCCAGGUGUAGCGGUGAAAUGCGUAGAGAUCUGGAGGAAUACCGGUGGCGAAGGCGGCCCCCUGGACAAAGACUGACGCUCAGGUGCGAAAGCGUGGGGAGCAAACAGGAUUAGAUACCCUGGUAGUCCACGCUGUAAACGAUGUCGAUUUGGAGGUUGUGCCCUUGAGGCGUGGCUUCCGGAGCUAACGCGUUAAAUCGACCGCCUGGGGAGUACGGCCGCAAGGUUAAAACUCAAAUGAAUUGACGGGGGCCCGCACAAGCGGUGGAGCAUGUGGUUUAAUUCGAUGCAACGCGAAGAACCUUACCUGGUCUUGACAUCCACAGAACUUUCCAGAGAUGGAUUGGUGCCUUCGGGAACUGUGAGACAGGUGCUGCAUGGCUGUCGUCAGCUCGUGUUGUGAAAUGUUGGGUUAAGUCCCGCAACGAGCGCAACCCUUAUCCUUUGUUGCCAGCGGUUAGGCCGGGAACUCAAAGGAGACUGCCAGUGAUAAACUGGAGGAAGGUGGGGAUGACGUCAAGUCAUCAUGGCCCUUACGACCAGGGCUACACACGUGCUACAAUGGCAUAUACAAAGAGAAGCGACCUCGCGAGAGCAAGCGGACCUCAUAAAGUAUGUCGUAGUCCGGAUUGGAGUCUGCAACUCGACUCCAUGAAGUCGGAAUCGCUAGUAAUCGUAGAUCAGAAUGCUACGGUGAAUACGUUCCCGGGCCUUGUACACACCGCCCGUCACACCAUGGGAGUGGGUUGCAAAAGAAGUAGGUAGCUUAACCUUCGGGAGGGCGCUUACCACUUUGUGAUUCAUGACUGGGGUGAAGUCGUAACAAGGUAACCGUAGGGGAACCUGCGGUUGGAUCACCU
rnacentral:rRNA from 1 species